UUUCAUAGCCAUGAAAGGAGUGAAGAAGAGUUGGGUGUGGUGGCAGAUGCCAGGGAUGAAGCAUUUCAGAUGUUCAGGCAGAAAGAUUGUAAGUCAGGGGCUGGUGAGAUGGCUUAGACGCUAACACUGCCUGCUGUGCAAGCCUUGACCUGUGUUUGAUUCCUGGGAUUCACAGUGUGGAAGAAGAGAACUGACUUUGUUUUGCUUGGUUGAGUUUUUGAGACAGGGUUUCUCUUUGUAGCUCUGGCUGUCCUGGAACUCGCUCUGUAGAACAAGCUGGCCUUGAACUCUCAGAGAUCUAUCUGCCUGUCUCUGCCUCCCAAGUGUUGAGAUUGAAGGUGUAUAUCACUAUGCCUGGCUGACAAUGGACUCUUUUAAAAGUUAAGUUGUCCUCUUAAAACACACACACACACACACACACACACACACACACACAGACACAGAUAGACAGACAGACAGAGAGACAGACAGACAGAGAGACAGACAUGCAUAGCAAAAUGUAAUAAAAAUUAAAAAUGGUUAAAAUGGUGAAUUUUCUUGUAUGUACAUUUCAUGGAUUCAUAAAAACAAAAAGGCAUCAGGUUGAUGGGCUUGAUAGACAGAUUUUUACUAUUUGUGUUUCAUAUUUAAACCACAGACCCUCUGCUCUAGAAAUAGCCUUGUGGCUACCUGGAAGAUGGUGGGGUGACAAAGCUGUGGUUCCCUUCUUGGGAGCCCUGCCUGCUGAUCACCUGCUCAUUGCUUGGGCCCAUCCUGGGCUUGAGCAGCAGUUUCCCCCCAGCUCUUAGGCUGGUGAGCAGUGUGGAUUGUCCCUGCCUCAGCGUGGAUGGCUGUUUGGCUCUGUGUGCUGAUUCCUAGUGUCAGAUGUGUUUGCACUGUGGAAUACCCUCCUUUCCACAUACCCCAGGAAAGGUGAAGCAGCCCCACUGAUCUUCUCUCCACUUCUGCUUCCUCGUGGUUUUCUGGGGUUGCUUAUCCUUGCCUGAUAAAAGAGUGACAGCUGGCUUUAUCUGAGUCUUUCUUCAUCUUCUGACUGUGACUGUGAAGCCCCGAGGUGUGACUGACCUUAGAUAAAGUCAAGACUUUGGUCAUUCAGAACCUUGGAGCCAAUACCUAGCCUGUCUAAUCAUCUGAGACAAAGAUGCCCUUUCUCCUUGUUUGCAAGGAGCCAGGUCCUUAGAGUUGGGUGAUACAUUGCUUAAUUUUGUACAGUGCUUUACUUUGCUCAGUUGCACCUGUUUAAAUUUCUAUAGGAGAGCUGCUGUUAUUUUCCCCGUCCACUCAGGGGUAUCAGUUCUGUGUAGGGGUUCAUGAGAUGAUCAGAGAGCAAACUCCAUUUCAUCACACUAGCUAUGUUCUGGCUCAAGUGACAGAUGGCCCUUUACCAAAGGACACUUUGGUCCUAGAGAGCCAGCAUUUGAGCUGUGGCUGGCACUAAUUGAGUCAACUUAUAUCCACAUUUUACAUGUUAUUUCAGUGUGUGUGUGUGUGUGUGUUCGUUCAUGUGUGUUCAUGCACACACAUGUUUGUGCAGGCCAGAGGUCAGGUCAGGUGUCUUCUUCAAUUGCUUUGUGUCUCAUUUUUUGAGAAAGAAUCCUUCACUGAAGUGAGAGCCCACUGAUUGGGCUAGAAUGGCUGACCAGCAGGCCACAGGAUCCUCCUGUCUCUGAUUUCCCAGACCUGGGAUUACAUGUGCACCGUUGUACAAGGUGUUAAGUCAAUGUCUUGUGGAGCUCUGGCAGGCCUGAACUUUAUAUAGAGACCAGAUAAGCUUUGACUCACAGUGAUCCACAUACAUCUACCUUCUAAGUACUGGGGUUAAAGGCUUGUACCACCAUGCCCAGCUGCACCUGGCUUUUUUACGUGGGUGCCGGAGAUCUCAACUCAAGUCUUCCUAUUGUUCACCAAGCACUUUACCCACUGACCCCGUGCAAGGUAUGAAUUUUUGGCAUUGCCAGUGAAAGCCAAGGCUUGUUAGAAACUGCCAAAAGCUGGUUCUGUUAGUCAGCUACAAACAGGGUCUCCCGACAACUCACUUGAGCACCCCUUCCUGGCUCUGUUCUUGCUGGCAGUUACCUUUGGGUGCUCUGACAUGCUUCUGGAACUUUCCCCACGUUUCAAAACAGAUCACUAUAGAUUUCAAAAUUAAAUUAUAGGCACUGCUUGCAUUAAGAGGCAGGUGAGCUGUACUUUAAAUAGACCACAUUAAUUCUGGAGUGGAGCCCUGCUGGGAUAAUUGUUAUCAUCAGUGGCAUUGCUGACAGGCUUGAAGAGGAUGCUCACGGUAAGCAAUUUGCAAACUGGAAGGUGAAAACAGGCUUUACAGUAAAGUGUUCCUGGUAUUCAAGGUCAGAGGGAGGUCACUGUAGCUUUUUGAGCAGAAUGUGAGAGUUACUGGAAGGGUAACUGUGAAGAGUUACUGUGCUCCCCAGAGUCCCCUCUGUGAUGGUGUUUGAAUGUAACUUUUCUUGGAUGUGAACAAAUCUCUUGCAUAGCAGAUAGGGAAAUGAUGACAGGCC
rnacentral:lncRNA from 1 species